CUCCUUGUGGUGUAGUUGGCUAUCACGUUCGGCUGUAAUUGUAACAAUCAUAAACCGAAAGGUCACCGGCUCGAUUCCGGUCGAGGAGA